UGGGGAAUAUUGCGCAAUGGGCGAAAGCCUGACGCAGCAACGCCGCGUGAGUGAUGAAGGUCUUCGGGUCGUAAAGCUCUGUCGGAGGGAACGAAUGCUCUUGAGGUUAAUAGCCUCAGGAGGUGACGGUACCCUCAAAGGAAGCACCGGCUAACUCUGUGCCAGCAGUCGCGGUAAUACAGAGGGUGCGAGCGUUAAUCGGAAUUACUGGGCGUAAAGCGCGCGUAGGCGGCUUUGCAAGUCGAUUGUGAAAUCCCCGGGCUCAACCUGGGAACUGCAUUCGAGACUGCAUUGCUAGAGUAUGGGAGAGGGAAGUGGAAUUUCAGGUGUAGCGGUGAAAUGCGUAGAUAUCUGAAGGAACAUCAGUGGCGAAAGCGACUUCCUGGACCAAUACUGACGCUCAUGUGCGAAAGCGUGGGGAGCAAA
rnacentral:rRNA from 1 species